rnacentral:rRNA from 1 species
GACGUAGGGGGCCAGCGUUGUUCGGAAUUACUGGGUGUAAAGGGUGUGUAGGUGGCGCGCUAAGUCGGGUGUGAAAUUUCGGAGCUUAACUCCGAAACUGCAUUCGAUACUGGCGUGCUUGAGGACUGGAGAGGAGACUGGAAUUCAUGGUGUAGCAGUGAAAUGCGCAGAUAUCAGGAGGAACACCGGUGGCGAAGGCGGUUCUCUGGGCAUUACCUGACGCUGAGGAGCGAAAGUGUGGGGAGCGAACAGG